GAUGAACGCUGGCGGCGUGCCUAAUACAUGCAAGUCGAGCGAACAGAUAAUGAGCUUGCUCCUUUGACGUUAGCGGCGGACGGGUGAGUAACACGUGGGUAACCUACCUAUAAGACUGGAAUAACUCCGGGAAACCGGGGCUAAUGCCGGAUAACAUUUAGAACCGCAUGGUUCUAAAGUGAAAGAUGGUUUUGCUAUCACUUAUAGAUGGACCCGCGCCGUAUUAGCUAGUUGGUAAGGUAACGGCUUACCAAGGCAACGAUACGUAGCCGACCUGAGAGGGUGAUAGGCCACACUGGAACUGAGACACGGUCCAGACUCAUACGGGAGGCAGCAGUAGGGAAUCUUCCGCAAAGGGCGAAAGCCUGACGGAGCAACGCCGCGUGAGUGAUGAAGGUCUUCGGAUCGUAAAACUCUGUUAUUAGGGAAGAACAAAUGUGUAAGUAACUGUGCACGUCUUGACGGUACCUAAUCAGAAAGCCACGGCUAACUACGUG
rnacentral:rRNA from 1 species